rnacentral:rRNA from 1 species
AGAGUUUGAUCCUGGCUCAGGAUGAACGCUAGCUACAGGCUUAACACAUGCAAGUCGAGGGGAAACGACAUCGAAAGCUUGCUUUUGAUGGGCGCCGACCGGCGCACGGGUGAGUAACGCGUAUCCAACCUGCCCACCACUUGGGGAUAACCUUGCGAAAGUAAGACUAAUACCCAAUGACGUCUCUAGAAGACAUCUGAAGGAGAUUAAAGAUUUAUCGGUGAUGGAUGGGGAUGCGUCUGAUUAGCUUGGUUGGCGGGGUAACGGCCACCAAGGCGACGAUCAGUAGGGGUUCUGAGAGGAAGGUCCCCCANAUUGGAACUGAGACACGGGUCCAAACUCCUACGGGAGCA